GGCGGCAUGCUUAACACAUGCAAGUCGCACGGGCACUUCGGUGUCAGUGGCGGACGGGUGAGUAACGCGUAGGUAUCUAUCCUUGGGUGGGGGACAACUGUGGGAAACUACAGCUAAUACCGCAUGAUGACUGAGGUCUAAAGGCGCAAGUCGCCUGGGGAGGAGCCUGCGUACGAUUAGCUAGUUGGUGGGGUAAAGGCCUACCAAGGCGACGAUCGUUAGCUGGUCUGAGAGGAUGAUCAGCCACAUUGGGACUGAGACACGGCCCAAACUCCUACGGGAGGCAGCAGUGGGGAAUAUUGGACAAUGGGCGCAAGCCUGAUCCAGCAAUGCCGCGUGUGUGAAGAAGGUCUUCGGAUUGUAAAGCACUUUCGACGGGGACGAUGAUGACGGUACCCGUAGAAGAAGCCCCGGCUAACUUCGUGCCAGCAGCCGCGGUAAUACGAAGGGGGCUAGCGUUGCUCGGAAUGACUGGGCGUAAAGGGCGCGUANGCGGAUGGCACAGUCAGAUGUGAAAUUCCCGGGCUUAACCUGGGGGCUGCAUUUGAUACGUGUGGUCUA
rnacentral:rRNA from 1 species